rnacentral:rRNA from 1 species
UGCCAGCCGCCGCGGUAAUACGAAAGGGGCUAGCGUUGUUCGGAAUUACUGGGCGUAAAGCGCGCGUAGGCGGCAUAGUAAGUUGGAGGUGAAAUCCCAGAGCUCAACUCUGGAACUGCCUUCAAAACUGCUAAGCUAGAGUGCGGAAGAGGAGAGUGGAAUUCCUAGUGUAGAGGUGAAAUUCGUAGAUAUUAGGAAGAACACCGGUGGCGAAGGCGACUCUCUGGUCCGAUACUGACGCUGAGGUGCGAAAGCGUGGGGAGCAAACAGGAUUAGAUA